rnacentral:rRNA from 1 species
AUUGAACGCUGGCGGCAUGCUUUACACAUGCAAGUCGAACGGCAGCGCGGGCUUCGGCCUGGCGGCGAGUGGCGAACGGGUGAGUAAUGCAUCGGAACGUGCCCAGUAGUGGGGGAUAGCCCGGCGAAAGCCGGAUUAAUACCGCAUACGACCUGAGGGUGAAAGCGGGGGACCGAAAGGCCUCGCGCUAUUGGAGCGGCCGAUGUCGGAUUAGCUAGUUGGUGGGGUAAAGGCCUACCAAGGCGACGAUCCGUAGCUGGUCUGAGAGGACGACCAGCCACACUGGGACUGAGACACGGCCCAGACUCCUACGGGAGGCAGCAGUGGGGAAUUUUGGACAAUGGGGGCAACCCUGAUCCAGCCAUGCCGCGUGCGUGAAGAAGGCCUUCGGGUUGUAAACCGCUUUUGUUCGGGAAGAAAUCCUCUGGGCUAAUACCCCGGGGGGAUGACGGUACCGGAAGAAUAAGCACCGGCUAACUACGUG